rnacentral:rRNA from 1 species
GGUUAAGCGACUAAGCGUACACGGUGGAUGCCUUGGCAGUCAGAGGCGAUGAAGGACGUGCUAAUCUGCGAUAAGCGUCGGUAAGGUGAUAUGAACCGUUAUAACCGGCGAUUUCCGAAUGGGGAAACCCAGUGUGAUUCGUCACACUAUCAUUAACUGAAUCCAUAGGUUAAUGAGGCGAACCGGGGGAACUGAAACAUCUAAGUACCCCGAGGAAAAGAAAUCAACCGAGAUUCCCCCAGUAGCGGCGAGCGAACGGGGAGCAGCCCAGAGCCUGAAUCAGUGUGUGUGUUAGUGGAAGCGUCUGGAAAGGCGUGCGAUACAGGGUGACAGCCCCGUACACAAAAAUGCACAUACUGUGAGCUCGAUGAGUAGGGCGGGACACGUGGUAUCCUGUCUGAAUAUGGGGGGACCAUCCUCCAAGGCUAAAUACUCCUGACUGACCGAUAGUGAACCAGUACCGUGAGGGAAAGGCGAAAAGAACCCCGGCGAGGGGAGUGAAAAAGAACCUGAAACCGUGUACGUACAAGCAGUGGGAGCACGCUUAGGCGUGUGACUGCGUACCUUUUGUAUAAUGGGUCAGCGACUUAUAUUCUGUAGCAAGGUUAACCGAAUAGGGGAGCCGAAGGGAAACCGAGUCUUAACUGGGCGUUAAGUUGCAGGGUAUAGACCCGAAACCCGGUGAUCUAGCCAUGGGCAGGUUGAAGGUUGGGUAACACUAACUGGAGGACCGAACCGACUAAUGUUGAAAAAUUAGCGGAUGACUUGUGGCUGGGGGUGAAAGGCCAAUCAAACCGGGAGAUAGCUGGUUCUCCCCGAAAGCUAUUUAGGUAGCGCCUCGUGAAUUCAUCUCCGGGGGUAGAGCACUGUUUCGGCAAGGGGGUCAUCCCGACUUACCAACCCGAUGCAAACUGCGAAUACCGGAGAAUGUUAUCACGGGAGACACACGGCGGGUGCUAACGUCCGUCGUGAAGAGGGAAACAACCCAGACCGCCAGCUAAGGUCCCAAAGUCAUGGUUAAGUGGGAAACGAUGUGGGAAGGCCCAGACAGCCAGGAUGUUGGCUUAGAAGCAGCCAUCAUUUAAAGAAAGCGUAAUAGCUCACUGGUCGAGUCGGCCUGCGCGGAAGAUGUAACGGGGCUAAACCAUGCACCGAAGCUGCGGCAGCGACGCUUAUGCGUUGUUGGGUAGGGGAGCGUUCUGUAAGCCUGUGAAGGUGUGCUGUGAGGUAUGCUGGAGGUAUCAGAAGUGCGAAUGCUGACAUAAGUAACGAUAAAGCGGGUGAAAAGCCCGCUCGCCGGAAGACCAAGGGUUCCUGUCCAACGUUAAUCGGGGCAGGGUGAGUCGACCCCUAAGGCGAGGCCGAAAGGCGUAGUCGAUGGGAAACAGGUUAAUAUUCCUGUACUUGGUGUUACUGCGAAGGGGGGACGGAGAAGGCUAUGUUGGCCGGGCGACGGUUGUCCCGGUUUAAGCGUGUAGGCUGGUUUUCCAGGCAAAUCCGGAAAAUCAAGGCCGAGGCGUGAUGACGAGGCACUACGGUGCUGAAGCAACAAAUGCCCUGCUUCCAGGAAAAGCCUCUAAGCAUCAGGUAACAUCAAAUCGUACCCCAAACCGACACAGGUGGUCAGGUAGAGAAUACCAAGGCGCUUGAGAGAACUCGGGUGAAGGAACUAGGCAAAAUGGUGCCGUAACUUCGGGAGAAGGCACGCUGAUACGUAGGUGAAGCGACUUGCUCGUGGAGCUGAAAUCAGUCGAAGAUACCAGCUGGCUGCAACUGUUUAUUAAAAACACAGCACUGUGCAAACACGAAAGUGGACGUAUACGGUGUGACGCCUGCCCGGUGCCGGAAGGUUAAUUGAUGGGGUUAGCGCAAGCGAAGCUCUUGAUCGAAGCCCCGGUAAACGGCGGCCGUAACUAUAACGGUCCUAAGGUAGCGAAAUUCCUUGUCGGGUAAGUUCCGACCUGCACGAAUGGCGUAAUGAUGGCCAGGCUGUCUCCACCCGAGACUCAGUGAAAUUGAACUCGCUGUGAAGAUGCAGUGUACCCGCGGCAAGACGGAAAGACCCCGUGAACCUUUACUAUAGCUUGACACUGAACAUUGAGCCUUGAUGUGUAGGAUAGGUGGGAGGCUUUGAAGUGUGGACGCCAGUCUGCAUGGAGCCGACCUUGAAAUACCACCCUUUAAUGUUUGAUGUUCUAACGUGGACCCGUGAUCCGGGUUGCGGACAGUGUCUGGUGGGUAGUUUGACUGGGGCGGUCUCCUCCUAAAGAGUAACGGAGGAGCACGAAGGUUGGCUAAUCCUGGUCGGACAUCAGGAGGUUAGUGCAAUGGCAUAAGCCAGCUUGACUGCGAGCGUGACGGCGCGAGCAGGUGCGAAAGCAGGUCAUAGUGAUCCGGUGGUUCUGAAUGGAAGGGCCAUCGCUCAACGGAUAAAAGGUACUCCGGGGAUAACAGGCUGAUACCGCCCAAGAGUUCAUAUCGACGGCGGUGUUUGGCACCUCGAUGUCGGCUCAUCACAUCCUGGGGCUGAAGUAGGUCCCAAGGGUAUGGCUGUUCGCCAUUUAAAGUGGUACGCGAGCUGGGUUUAGAACGUCGUGAGACAGUUCGGUCCCUAUCUGCCGUGGGCGCUGGAGAACUGAGGGGGGCUGCUCCUAGUACGAGAGGACCGGAGUGGACGCAUCACUGGUGUUCGGGUUGUCAUGCCAAUGGCACUGCCCGGUAGCUAAAUGCGGAAGAGAUAAGUGCUGAAAGCAUCUAAGCACGAAACUUGCCCCGAGAUGAGUUCUCCCUGACCCUUUAAGGGUCCUGAAGGAACGUUGAAGACGACGACGUUGAUAGGCCGGGUGUGUAAGCGCAGCGAUGCGUUGAGCUAACCGGUACUAAUGAACCGUGAGGCUUAACCUU